rnacentral:lncRNA from 1 species
UUCCCUGAGUACGUUGGCAGCAGCGUUUUUCACCCGCUUGGUUAGCUGCGUAUCCAUCAUGAAGUUGUGCACGUGUUUCUCUGCUUUGGUGAGCUCUAGCUUUCUGGCAACCACGGCGACGACCAGAGCCGUGCAGCCGGCGCCCAUGAUGCCGGUGAGCAGACAGACCCCCUUCCCGCAGUAGGUGUGCGGCACCAUGUCCCCGUAGCCG